AAACAUAUUUCUUUCUUUUCUAUGGUUAUCACGACAGAUUGAAGGAUUGAAACACAAGUCUGUUUGGUCAAAACUACCAAUCCAACCCAACGCCAAGGCUCCUGCUCCUGCUUUAAGAAAGACAAUUGGUAAUAAAAUAAUUCAUUUGAUGGAUUAUAUCGAGUCAUUUCGCUCGUCUAACUCCUUGUGUCGUCAUAUUUUCAUUUCAUCCUUCCAAUCUUACAAAUUGUUUCAUGAGAAUUUUUUUUCUUCCAUUGAUGCCGAACAGUAAGAAGAUAAAAUCGUAAACCAAUUGAAAAGGAGAAGAAAUGAGAAGGUUCUACCAAAACCUGCGUAACUUUUACAUUGAGUGUCAAAUUUAUGCAAGCGAGUACAAUUUGAAAGCGUUAUUCAAUUCCCUAAAAUUUUGCCAAGUGAUGAUUUUGACCUUCUUUUAGGGGUUCGUUUUAGCUUCUCUCUCUUUUUAUUUUGAGUCAGUUCAAGGAUAUUUAUAUCAUUUUUGCACUUUUUGAAUAUUGUUCAUAUUUGCCUACAGAAUUAG
rnacentral:lncRNA from 1 species